rnacentral:lncRNA from 1 species
AUUCAGUAAUGCCAGGUAUUAUCAGUGGACUGAUGAUCUGUUAUGAUAGAAUACUCGUUGUAUGUGUAAUACUGGUAUGUGUAUGUCCUUGUAUGCUUACUGGGUGGGGCCGGAUGGUUAAUAUUUAUGCUAUUAAUUAUUAUGCUUAUAUGAACUAUAUGUGGGUAGGGCCUGUUAUGCUAGUUAGGGCGGUGCCCGUUACACUCAUUGGACGAGGCCCAUUAUACUCAUUGGGUGGGCCCGUUAUACUCAUUGGGUAGGGCCCGUUAUGACAGUUAGGGUGGGGUCCGUUACUUUCAUCAGGAGGGGCACAUUAUGUGUUGUAUAUAUGUAGGGUAUGUGGUAGCUUGGGGAACUCACUAAGCUUUAUGCUUAAGAUUUUCAGUUUAUGUUUAAGGUACUUCCAGUUCCAAGGGGAAAGGAUUAUGAUGAUUGCAGAGUACACACCACCUCAUUCCGCAUUUGUGAUUUACUCUGAUCUGAGACGAUGUUUGAUACACUUAUUUUAUCUGGAUUGUACUGAUGUUGUUUUGGAAUACUGAUUUUAUUAAAUUAAGAAUGAAAAAUUUUGGGUCAUAUUUUGAUGUUAUUUUGUUAGACGAGGACGUUGAACCCUAUAAUGGGGGUGAAGGUGGCUUGCACCGGAUCUCGCAUUGGUUGGGAAGGAGAAAUAAGCAUUCCUUAAAAGGGUGUGAAUAUCUUCCCUAUCACAACACGUUUUAAAGCCGUGAGGGCAGCAAAUCCUAUAAGAACUCUGCAGUUAAGCUUUCCCGAGAGAGUGCAAUUCAGGGAUGGGUGACCCACCGGGAAGUUUUCGUGACGGGAGCCGAAAGAGGACAAUAUUGUGAUAUGUGCCAGAGGGGGAUGUUAUAAAUGGUAUCAGAGCCAGAGGUGGAUGUUACAAAUGUGUUUGAAUGAAAACUGAGGAUUUAUGUAAAGUUUUUUAAAAAGAAAUAUUUUUUUUUAGAAAAGAGUUUUUCUAAGACAAGAAAAGGUGUGGUGCAUGCAAUCAGCCGAGCUCAAGUAAGUUUUCCAAAAUUACCCAUACAUGUUAUAUGAUAUGAUUUGUUCUGUGAAUCUGUGAAUCACAUGCUAGUUAGGGCUAAGGAUCUACUCAGUUUUUGCAUGAUAUGUGACAUCCCCAAAAUCUCGGCCAGAAAAGACCGAUUUUCAUUUAUGCUUUUAAAAUAAUUUCAGAGUAAAUCCUAUUGAUUUGAAAGAGUUGCAGAAUUUGUUCCCAAAAACAAAACAUGAUAAAACAAUGUUUACCAAAGCAUUUCAUAAAAGAAAUGUAUUUUCAUUAUAAUCAAAACUCGGGGUGUCAUGUUCCGAUACAGACCAAUAAGCAUAAAUGAAUACAUUACAAGUCAUUCAACAAAUAUAAACAUAUACAGACUUGUAAACAAAACAACUGAUGGUUCAUCCAUCUCAUGCCCUUGCGCCACUUCCUGUAAUACAAAUAAAACUGAGUGGGUCAGGCUUGGGAGCCUGGUGAGCAUAUAGGGUUUUCAACCCACAAUAAAUAAUCAUAUUUAAUUUUCACCAACCAACAAUAACCUAAUUACCCAUUCCCGUUAUUCUCACUUUAUGUCCCUAAAACAACUAACACAAGGGACCUAGUCUAAGAAUAUUUCAUCGGGGCGACAACACAUGCUUCGGGGGUACCUCAGCAAUAUAAGUCAAAUAAGGCAACCAUGAGGGGGAUGGAGUACAGCGAAUGAACACCCAAGUUCAUUAACACCUACAGGUGGCGAACCUGCUAAUGUUUCCACAAGACUGUCUAGAAUAGCCAGUGGUCGUCAUCUAAACUCCGCUAGAUGACUCAAUCAAACAACAACGAGGCCUCUCAUCUGUUUAUUACACACCAACUGUCUACCCAUGUUCUACCCAACAUAUUAGUAGAUAAAAAUAUACAUUUGUAUACAUAGUUUAAAGAAAACCUGUAUAGCAUGCUUUAAUCAACACAUAUAUCACAUAACAGAUGAGGCACACACACACAUAACACAUAUCUCAUAAAGAAAUAAGCAGAUCUAUAAGAUAGAAGAGAGUGAAUACUCAUUCACACAUAACACAACCAAAUAUAUACACAUAGCACGUAUUUUUAUAUAAAAUACUUCGUAUUAUUGUAUUAGAAGAAAUAACUACACACUCACUUGAUCAGAAGAUGAUCGGACAGCACUACGGCUUAUAGAAGUAGUAAUCCACAGCAGAUCUGGAAGAUCUUCUCGAAAAUCGAACUUCUCGCGGGCAGAGCUUCGACUCGGGAACCGCACUUUUCGGGAUCUUCGGGAUCUCGGGACUUGCCUCGGGGCUAGAGUAUGAUACCGGGGCUUCGGGGUAGCUUCGGGGGUUUUUGCACAGAGCUUCGACACGAAAACGAGAGGGAAUUGGCAAAAAUACCCGGAACCCUCGCAUCCUAUUUAUAGGAGGCUGGAGCCUCGGAGUACGCGGGGCGUACUGCGUUACGCGGGGCGUACUGCCCAAAACGUCAUUGCUUACGUAUCCGAAGUGCUCGAGUGCGAGUGUCGACAUCCCUCGGAGUACGCGGGGCGUACUCGAGUACGCGGGGCGUACCUCGGAUCAGAUCGGUGACUCCUUCGGAUAAUGCUUCCGAAUUUUGAUUUAAAUAUAAAUACAAAAUGAUUAAUAAACUUCGGAAAUUCAUAACUUCUUCAUACGAACUCCGUUUUCGACGUUCUUUAUAUCCACGCGAAGGUGAGACCACGCUCUACGACUUUCGUUUAGACUCCGUCGGCUAAUUUUGACUUUAUUUUUAUUAAUUAUUUUUAAUAGGCCGGGACAGAAACUUUCGUUAUAAAUUCAUAACUUCUUCGUUUGACGUCCGUUCUCGCCUAACUUUUUAUCGUUUCAAUACCAACAAUGAGAUCUUCGAUUCUCAUUUAGAUUGCUUCGGCUAACAACCGCUCGAUCUCAAAUCGAGUAAAACAGGCUGUAUAUCGCUAAGCCGGAACUUCGAUAAAUCAUAACUUCCUCAUACGAAGUCAGAUUUGGGCGUUCUAUAUAUAUUCGGAAACCUCGUUUCAACUACUACAACAUUAACCAAAUAUAUUAAGUUUAUUUUACACUUAAAUUUUGACGCUUAUUUUUAUUCUUAAUUAAUCAAACCACAUAAUUAAGCAAUUAAGCACAAAACACAUAAUACUCAAAUAAUACAAUCUUAUUAUUUCAAAACGGGUUACAGAGGUUAACCUAGACUAUUACAUUGCUACAAAUGGCAAGCCCGAAACACAGGCGUUACAAUUCUCUCCACCUUAGAAUGAUUCCGUCCCCGGAAUCACACAUCAACAAACAAAUGCGGAUAGCGACUCAACAUGUCACUCUCCGUCUCCCAGGUGAGAUUCGGCCCAUUCGUGUGUUUCCAUCGGACAAGCACUAACCCAACCAUUUUGCGUCGCAACUUCUUAGUCUUUCGGUCAACAAUUGCCUCUGGUUCUUCAAUCAACCUUUUGUUCUCAUCAAUUCUCAAUUCAGAAAUUGGAAUUAUAUCGGGAACUUCUCCCGUGAACUUCCUCAAAUAACACACAUGAAAGGUGUUGUGAAUUCCAUUCAGUUCUUCGGGUAAUUCGAGCUUGUAAGCUUGAUUCCCAAUCCUCUGAAGGACUCUAAACGGUCCAAUAAACCUUGGACUCAACUUUCCCCUUUUACCAAAUCUUAUAAGUCCCUUCCACGGCGAGACUUUAAGCAAAACCGAAUCUCCAACCUCAAAAGUCAUCGGUCUUCGCUUCUUGUCAGCAUAGCUCUUUUGACGAUCUUGAGCUGCUAACAUUCUUUCCCUAAUUAUUUUCAACUUUUCAGCAGUUUGAUGAACCAUCUCCGGUCCCAUAAACUGCUUUUCCCCAGCCUCAAGCCAACAAGACGGCGUACGACACUUCUGUCCAUACAAAGCUUGAUAAGGUGCCAUCUUAAUGCUCGAGUGAAAACUAUUAUUAUAGGAAAAUUCUACCAACGGUAAAUGUUCAUCCCAAUUACCUAGGAAUUCCAAGGUACAUGCUCUCAGCAUAUCUUCAAGUGUUUGUAUUGUUCUUUCACUCUGACCAUCAGUCUGCGGAUGGUAAGCUGUGCUUAAACAUAACUUGGUACCCAUUUCCUCUUGUAGACUUUUCCAAAACCUUGAGGUGAAACGGCUAUCACGAUCCGAUACAAUCGUUAACGGAACACCGUGAAGCCUCACAAUUUCCUUCACGUAAGAAUUCGCAAGCUUUUCCAUAGACCAUUUCUCCCUGGCCGCUAUGAAAUGCGCACUCUUAGUGAAUCGAUCAACGACCACCCAAAUCAUGUCGUGACCAUUCUUUGUUCUGGGCAGUUUAGUGACAAAAUCCAUAGCAAUGUCUUCCCACUUACCCAUAGGCACAGGCAAAGGUUCUAAACUCCCGUACGGUUUCUGAUGUUGUGUCUUGACUCUCGCACAAGUCACACACUCGGCCACAUACUUUGCAACAUCAAGCUUCAUCGUCGGCCACCAGUAGUAGGGUUUCAGGUCCCUAUACAUUUUAGUGCUACCCGGAUGAAUCGAGUACAUGGUCUUGUGAGCUUCUUCCAUCAGAAGAUCCCUAAUUCCUCCUGACUUAGGUACCCAAAUACGAUCUUGGAAUACCUUCAGUCCAUGACCGUUAGUACCAAACACCAACGUUUUACCCAAACGUUCCUCCUUUCGGUCAUUUUUCUCAGAAGCUUCCUCUUGAGCUUUCUUUAUACUUUCCACAAUGGUCGAGACAACUUCAAUUCUCAACGCUCUUGGCCUCUUCCUUUCAAGAUUGACCUUCCGACUGAGAGCAUCAGCAACAACAUUAGCUUUACCGGGGUGGUAAAGUAUCUCGCAGUCGUAGUCUUUAAGUAAUUCUAGCCAGCGUCGUUGCCUCAUAUUCAAUUCUUUCUGAUUAAAGAGGUAUUGGAGACUCUUAUGAUCAGUGAAAAGUUUGCACUUCGUGCCAUAGAGGUAAUGCCUCCAUAUUUUCAGAGCGAAAACUACCGCUGCCAACUCCAAAUCAUGAGUCGGGUAAUUCUUUUCAUGCUCUUUCAGCUGUCGAGACGCAUAUGCUAUCACCUUUUCUCUUUGGGUCAAAACACAACCCAAUCCAACACCAGACGCAUCGCUAUAAACAGCGAAGUCUUCAACUCCAUCGGGUAGAGAAAGUAUCGGUGCCUCGCAUAGCUUCUUCUUUAACUUCUCGAAUGCUUCUUUAUGCUUCUCACUCCAAGCAUAAGUAGCUCCUUUGUGGGUCAAAGCUGUUAAUGGAGUAGCAAUCGAAGAAAAGCCUUGGAUAAACCUUCGGUAAUAUCCGGCUAAUCCUAAAAAGCUUCGAAUCUCCGUGGGACUUUUCGGUUGUUCCCACUUCGUCACAGCUUCGAUCUUCGCUGGAUCAACCAUUAUCCCUUCUUGGUUGACCACGUGACCCAAGAAUUGGACUUCACGAAUCCAAAAAUCACAUUUGGAGAACUUCGCAUAAAGCUUCUCCUUCUUCAAAACUUCUAACACUUCUCGCAAGUGUCUGCCAUGCUCCUCCUGGCUUUUCGAGUAGAUCAGAAUGUCGUCUAUGAACACUAUCACGGAUUUAUCAAGGAAAGGAUUACAAACCCUAUUCAUCAAAUCCAUGAACGCUGCUGGAGCAUUGGUUAGUCCAAACGACAUAACCAAGAACUCGUAGUGUCCAUAUCUAGUUCUGAAUGCAGUCUUCUCGAUAUCUUGCUCUCUUACUUUCAGCUGAUGAUAUCCUGACCUAAGAUCGAUCUUCGAGAAAUAGCUCGAACCUUGCAAUUGAUCAAACAGGUCAUCAAUCCUCGGCAACGGAUAUCUAUUCUUUAUUGUUGCCUUGUUCAGCUCUCUGUAAUCGAUGCACAUUCUCAUACUUCCAUCUUUCUUCUUUACAAAUAACACCGGAGCUCCCCAGGGCGAUGAACUAGGUCUAAUGAAACCUUUGUCCAAUAACUCCUGAAGUUGCAUCAUUAGCUCCUUCAUCUCCGUCGGUGCUAAUCGAUAAGGUGCUUUUGCUAUUGGCGUGGUUCCUGGUAACAAGUCUAUUCUGAACUCCACUUGUCUAUCAGGUGGUAAUCCAGGAAGAUCCUCGGGAAAUACUUCCGGAUAAUCACACACCACUGGAAUGCUCUGCAUCACCUUCUUUUCUUUCUUAGCAUCAAUCACGAAUGCUAAAUAUGAUGUACAUCCCUUGGUCAAACACUUUCUGGCUUUCAUUAGAGAAAUGAUUCCAGAAUUCACUCUGCGUUUGUCCCCAUACACCAUAAACGAAUCUUUUCCAGGCGGGUUUACUUUAACUAUCUUCUUCUUGCACAAAAUUUCGGCAUCAUUGGCGCUAAGCCAAUCCAUUCCCAAGACGAUGUCGAAACCAUUUAGUUCGAUAGGCAAUAAUUCCUCGAGAAACUUAUUCCCAUUAAGGUCGAUCAAGACGUUUUUCAUACGAUGGCUAACAGGUACAAACUUGCCACUAGCUACUUCGACUAAUAAAGCAUUAUUUAGUCUAUCAACAGGCAAAGCUAGCUUUCUACCAAACUCAUGCGAAAUAAAGGAGUAGUUGGCUCCAGAAUCAAACAAUAUAUGAGCAGGUAAUUCGUUUACGAGAAAGGUACCUGAAGCGACAUCAGCUUCAUCUUUCGCAGCCUCAAGUGUCAUCUGGAAGGCUCUCGCCUUCGGCUUUGGUGGAAUGUUGGGCCUAGCUGCCUCCUUCUUCUUCGGACAGUCUUUCAAAAUAUGCCCCUCUUCAUUACAACCAAAACACAUCCUUUUGUUGUUCGGACAUUCAUUGGCAAAAUGUCCAACCUUUCCACACUUGUAGCAGGUCACAUCCUCGCUACAUUUCCCAAAGUGCUUUUUCUUACACUUAUCACACCACUUUGCUUCGCCUCCUUUUCCUCCAAACUUUUUCGAAUCAGAUUUCGAAAAUUUGCUCUUCUUACUGGAACCAGAUGUUCCUUCAAACUUCCUUUUCUCACCAACCUCAACCUUGACGGUGGUUCUCCCCUUGAUCAUGUUCUCCACAGACUUGGCAGCCCAGAUAGCUGCCUCUAGAGUAAGUGCCUGACGUACCGGCACCUCGUACUCCCAUGGAAGUCCCUUCGCAUACCGAUCCACCUUUGUCAGCUCGUCUGGAACGAUACGCAAGGCAAACUCCAUCUUAUCGGUGAAGUUAUUGGUGUAUUCAUCAACUGACAUGCUACCCUUCGUCAAUGUCAAAAACUUAUUCUCCAACUCCAACAGAUUUUGAGCCGAGCAGAACUUGCGCUUGAACUGCACCAAGAACUCUGCCCAUGACAAUUGCAGUGGCUCAUUAGGGCUUAAGGUCUUCCCUAGAGUGUUCCACCAACGAACGGCUCCACCUCGGAAUUGUCGCACGGCAUAGAUAGUCUGCAACUUACCUCUGCAGCCACAUGUCAUAAAGGCUAACUCCAUUUCGGAGAUCCAAUCCAUAACCCCAAUCGGAUCCUCCUUUCCAUUGAAGGUCGAUGGUUUGCAAGUCAAAAAGUCCUUGUACUUGCAUCCCAUUCCAUCAUUCCUUCCAUCAUGGUUAUCUUGCCUAACUAUCGGUGGGUUGGCUUGACCAACAGACCCACUGAAGUUUCCACCUUCCGAGUGCCCUUCAUUUAAUUCAGGCUCUUCCACACGAAUUGACAGUUCUUCACGAUUCUGUCAAAGCAACCGCCUAGUUUCAUCCAUCUGACGAUCGAACAUUGUUUGAAUCAUCAUUUGCACACCAGCCUUGGUUAUUGGCUCAGGUGCUGCUGCUACGACAGGUAUUUGUUCCAUCACUGGUGGUUGAUUCCUGUUUUCGUCAGCAUUUCCAACUCCACUUCUUGUUCUCACCAUUUUGAUCUACACACCGAAUAAGGUGAAAUUAGAUCCUCAAUCAUGAUAGAUAUUCAAAUCAUCCUUAUCACUCCGAAACGUUUACAUGCUAGUUCUAAUAUCGUAGACGUACGCUUAGAAUCCUACACACAUAAGGUUUCUAGAUCCGGUCGGCAACAGACCAUAGAUCCGAACAAAUAAUAUCAUAUAUGGCAACAUAUAACAUUUAGCACAUAAAGCAUUUUAGGCAACUUUCCUAAAAUAAACUAGUGCUCGUGUCUAAAUCACAACAGACACACAUCUCAAAACUUCACUUAGCAUUCUAAGUUUAAGUCUAGAAAUCCUACAAAUUCCUAGUUCGCUUAAACUAAUGCUCUGAUACCAACUGUGACAUCCCCAAAAUCUCGGCCAGAAAAGACCGAUUUUCAUUUAUGCUUUUAAAUAUUUUCAGAGUAAAUCCUUUUGAUUUGAAAGAGUUGCGGAAUUUGUUCCCAAAAACAAAACAUGAUAAAACAUUGUUUACCGAAGCAUUUCAUAAAAGAAAUGUAUUUUCAUUAUAAUCAAAACUCGGGGUGUCAUGUUCCGAUACAGACCAAUAAGCAUAAACGAAUACAUUACAAGUCAUAUAACAAAUAUAAACAUAUGCAGACUAUUGUAAAUAAGACAACUGAUGGUUCGUCCAUCUCAUGCCCUUGCGCCACUUCCUAUAAUACAAAUAAAACUGAGUGGGUCAGGCUUGGGAGCCUGGUGAGCAUAUAAGGUUUUCAACCCACAAUAAAUAAUCAUAUUUAUUUUUCACCAACCAACAAUAACCCAAUUACCCAUUCCCGUUAUUCUCACUUGAUGUCCCUAAAACAACUAACACAAGGGACCUAGUCUAAGAAUAUUUCAUCGGGGCGACAACACAUGCUUCGGGGGUACCUCAGCAAUAUAAGUCAAAUAAGGCAACCAUGAGGGGGAUGGAGUACAGCGAAUGAACACCCAAGUUCAUUAACACCUACAGGUGGCGAACCUGCUAAUGUUUCCACAAGACUAUCUAGAAAAGUCUGUGGUCGUCAUCUAAACUCCGCUAGAUGACUAAAUCAAACAACAACGAGGCCUCUCAUCUGUUUAUUACACACCAACUAUCUACCCAUGUUCUACCCAACAUAUUAGUAGAUAAAAAUAUACAUUUGUAUACAUAGUUUAAAAACCUUUAUAGCAUGCUUUAAUCAACACAUAUAUCACAUAACAGAUGAGGCACACACACAAAUAACACAUAUCUCAUAGAGAAAUAAUCAGAUUUAUAAGAUAGAAGAUAGUGAAUACACAUUCACACAUAACACAACCAACUAUAUACACAUAGCACUUAUUUUAUAUAAAAUACUUCGUAUUAUUGUAUUAGAAGAAAAUAACUACACACUCACUUGAUCAGAAGAUGAUCCGACAGCACUACGGCUUAUAGAAGUAGUAAUCCUCAGCAGAUCUGGAAGAUCUCCUCGAAAAUCGAACUUCUCGCGGGCAGAGCUUCGACUCGGGAACCGCACUUCUCGGGAUCUUCGGGAUCUCGGGACUUGCCUCGGGGCUAGAGUAUGAUACCGGGACUUCGGGAUAGCUUCGGGGGUUUUUGCGCAGAGCUUCGACACAAAAAUGAGAGGAAAUUGGCAAAAGAACCCGGAACCCUCGCAUCCUAUUUAUAGGAGGCUGGAAGCCUCAAUUACCCGGGGCGUACAGCAGUACGCAACGCGUACUGCUUCAAGUUCGUAAGCGCAUGCGUCAUCCGAAGCCACUUGCUGCGAUGUCGACACCCUCGGAGUACGCAGCGCGUACCUCAGAUCAGAUCGAUGACUCGCUUCAGAUAAUGCUUCCGAAUUUUGAUUUAAAUAUAAAUACAAAAUGAUUAAUAAACUUCGGAAAUUCAUAACUUCUUCAUACGAACUCCGUUUUCGACGUUCUUUAUAUCCACAGAAAGGUGAGACCACGCUGUACGACUUUCGUUUAAACUCCGUCGGCUAAUUUUGAAUUUAUUUUUUAUUAAUUAUUUUUAAUAGGCCGGGACAUAAACUUUCAUUAUAAACUCAUAACUUCUUCAUUUGACGUCCGUUCUCGCCUAACUUUUUAUCGCUUCGAUACCAACAAUGAGAUCUUCGAUUCUCAUUUAGAUUGCUUCGGCUAAAAACCGCUCGAUCUCAAAUCGAGUAUUUCAGGCUGCAUACCGCUAAGCCGGAAAUUCGAUAAAUCAUAACUUCCUCAUACGAAGUCAGAUUUGGGCGUUCUAUAUAUAUAUUCGGGAACCUCGUUUCAACUACUACAACAUAAAUCAAAGUUAUUAAGUUUAUUUUACACUUAAAUUUUGACGCUUAUUUUUAUUCUUAAUUAAUCAAACCACAUAAUUAAGCAAUUAAGCACAAAACACACAAUACUCAAAUAAUACAAUCUUAAUAUUUCAAAAUGGGUUACAAAGGUUAACCUAGACCAUUACAUUGCUAAAAAUGGCAAGCCCGGAAACACAGGCGUUACAUGAUAGAAUGCUAGGAGAGAUGCCUUUCUAUACCUAUUAUAUGAGCUUGUAGAGUUGCAUGCUAGUUCUGAUCAGUCAGUGAUAGGAUGGUCUGAUUAGGUAAUGCUUUUUCUGAUUACUUGAUGCCCGAAUGUUGCUUGCUUUGUGCUUUCUUGGAGUUCUAGCUAGCUUCAGCCAAGUAGAAAGCGAAUAUGCUAAGUUAC